AAAGAAAUAUGAGGCUCUUAGAAGUAUGCUUAAAAGCUUGUAUUUCCGGUUACCAUAACAAAGUCAGGCAAAACAAGAGAGGACGUAGGAGAAAAGAGUACCUGUGUUCGUUCCUUCUGAUCCUAUUCCAACCUGAUCUGUGUUCCCCGAGAAGAGCGUGACCGAGAGAGAGAGAGAGAGUGUGUGUGCGUGUGUGGGG
rnacentral:lncRNA from 1 species